rnacentral:rRNA from 1 species
GACGAACGCUGGCGGCGUGCCUAAUACAUGCAAGUUGAGCGCUGAAGGUUGGUACUUGUACCGACUGGAUGAGCAGCGAACGGGUGAGUAACGCGUGGGGAAUCUGCCUUUGAGCGGGGGACAACAUUUGGAAACGAAUGCUAAUACCGCAUAAAAACUUUAAACACAAGUUUUAAGUUUGAAAGAUGCAAUUGCAUCACUCAAAGAUGAUCCCGCGUUGUAUUAGCUAGUUGGUGAGGUAAAGGCUCACCAAGGCGAUGAUACAUAGCCGACCUGAGAGGGUGAUCGGCCACAUUGGGACUGAGACACGGCCCAAACUCCUACGGGAGGCAGCAGUAGGGAAUCUUCGGCAAUGGACGAAAGUCUGACCAAGCAACGCCGCGUGAGUGAAGAAGGUUUUCGGAUCGUAAAACUCUGUUGGUAGAGAAGAACGUUGGUGAGAGUGGAAAGCUCAUCAAGUGACGGUAACUACCCAGAAAGGGACGGCUAACUACGUG